AGUGAACGCUGGCGGUAGGCCUAACACAUGCAAGUCGAACGACAGCACAGUAAGAUCUUGCUUUUACGGUUGGCGAGUGGCGGACGAGUGAGGCAUACAUCGGAAACUUCUUUGUCGUGGGGGAUAACGUGGAGAAACUUAUGCUAACACCUCAUACGACCUACGGGUUAAAGCAGUAGAUAUUCGGACCUUGGGUGAUUGUAUGAGACGACGCCGCAUUAGCUAGUUGGCGGGGUAAAGGCACACCAAGGCGACGAUCCGUAGCUGAUCUGACAGGAUGAUCAGCCACACUGGAACUGAGACACGGUCCAGACUCCUACGGGAGGCAGCAGUGGGGAAUAUUGGGCAAUGGGCGCAAGCCUGAUCCAGCAAUACCGCGUGGGUGAAGAAGGCCUUCGGGUCGUAAAACCCUGUUGUUAGGAAAGAAAAGCAGCAGGAGAAAACCCGGCUGUCCUGACGGUACCCAAUCAAUAAGCAACGGCUAACUUCGUG
rnacentral:rRNA from 1 species